CAGUCGUACGAGAAGGUACCUUCCGUUACUGGAGAGUGGCGCACGGGUGAGUAACGCGUGGGGACCUACCUCUUAGUGGGGGAUAACGGUUGGAAACGACCGCUAAUACCGCAUACGCCCUUCGGGGGAAAGAUUUAUCGCUAAAAGAUGGACCCGCGUUGGAUUAGCUAAUUGGCGAGGUAACGGCUCACCAAGGCAUCGAUCCAUAGCUGGUUUGAGAGGAUGAUCAGCCACACUGGGACUGAGACACGGCCCAGACUCCUACGGGAGGCAGCAGUGGGGAAUAUUGGACAAUGGGGGCAACCCUGAUCCAGCCAUGCCGCGUGAGUGAAGAAGGCCUUCGGGUUGUAAAGCUCUUUCAGAUGCGAAGAUGAUGACGGUAACAUCAGAAGAAGCCCCGGCUAAUUUCGUGCCAGCAGCCGCGGUAAUACGAAAGGGGCAAGCGUUGUUCGGAUUUACUGGGCGUAAAGGGCACGCAGGCGGUCUUGCCAGUCAGGGGUGAAAGCCCGGGGCUCAACCUCGGAACUGCCUCUGAUACUGCAAGACUUGAGACUAGGAGAGGGUGGUGGAAUUCCCAGUGUAGAGGUGAAAUUCGUAGAUAUUGGGAGGAACACCAGAGGCGAGGCGGCCACCUGGACUAUAUCUGACGCUCAGGUGCGAAAGCGUGGGGAGCAAACACGAUUAGAUACCCUGGUAGUCCACGCCGUAAACGAUGAGUGCUAGUUGUCGGGACUUCUGUUUCGGUGACGCAGCUAACACAUUAAACACUCCGCCUGGGGGAGUAGGGUCGCCACCAUCAACACUCAAACGAAUUGACUGGGGGCCCGCACAAGCGGUGUAGCAUGUGUUUAAUUCGUAUCAACGCGCAGAAGCAUAACCAACCCCUGAC
rnacentral:rRNA from 1 species